UUGAAAGGGAAACGAUUGAAGUCAGUCGUACUGACGGGAAAUCAACUUCUCGAGUGCUUGUCGUGGGUGAUGUAGAGCCUCACGGCCUUCGUUGCUUGCGUUAUGGUGCUUUUGGGGUGUACUUUUCCGUAUGGUAGGUCAAUAUCGAUUUUGGUCGUCAUAAAAUGAUCGGAGGAAUGUGGCUUCGAUCUCGUAUCGGAGUGUUAUAGCCUUUGGUAGAUGUGACGAUUGGGAUCGAGGAUUACAACGAAUACCCUUUGGGCUAUCCGUCUGACCUCUGAAAGUCGCUCGGGUGUCGAAAGCGUGCUUAUGACAUUCUAGUUGCGGUCAAAAGGUAGAACGCGAUUACAUUCGUUAAGGAUGUUGACGUA
rnacentral:rRNA from 1 species